rnacentral:rRNA from 1 species
AGAGUUUGAUCCUGGCUCAGGAUGAACGCUAGCGACAGGCCUAACACAUGCAAGUCGAGGGGCAGCGAUAGAGGUAGCAAUACCUUUGUCGGCGACCGGCGCACGGGUGAGUAACACGUAUGCAAUCCACCUGUAACAGGGGGAUAACCCGGAGAAAUCCGGACUAAUACCCCAUAAUAUGGGCGCUCCGCAUGGAGAGCCCAUUAAAGAGAGCAAUUUUGGUUACAGACGAGCAUGCGCUCCAUUAGCCAGUUGGCGGGGUAACGGCCCACCAAAGCGACGAUGGAUAGGGGUUCUGAGAGGAAGGUCCCCCACAUUGGUACUGAGACACGGACCAAACUCCUACGGGAGGCAGCAGUGAGGAAUAUUGGUCAAUGGUCGGCAGACUGAACCAGCCAAGUCGCGUGAGGGAAGACGGCCCUACGGGUUGUAAACCUCUUUUGUCGGAGAGUAAAGUACGCUACGUGUAGUGUAUUGCAAGUAUCCGAAGAAAAAGCAUCGGCUAACUCCGUGCCAGCAGCCGCGGUAAUACGGAGGAUGCAAGCGUUAUCCGGAUUUAUUGGGUUUAAAGGGUGCGUAGGCGGCACGCCAAGUCAGCGGUGAAAUUUCCGGGCUCAACCCGGAGUGUGCCGUUGAAACUGGCGAGCUAGAGUACACAAGAGGCAGGCGGAAUGCGUGGUGUAGCGGUGAAAUGCAUAGAUAUCACGCAGAACCCCGAUUGCGAAGGCAGCCUGCUAGGGUGAAACAGACGCUGAGGCACGAAAGCGUGGGUAUCGAACAGGAUUAGAUACCCUGGUAGUCCACGCAGUAAACGAUGAAUACUAACUGUUUGCGAUACAAUGUAAGCGGUA